GGACGUGGGUGUGUGCAUGUGGACGUGGGUGUGCACGUGUGAACAUGGGUGUGUGCACGUGUGAACACGGGUGUGUGUGAACAUGGGUGUGUGUGCAUGUGAACAUGGGUGUGUGCGCACAUGAACACGGGUGUGUGCACGUGUGAACAUGGGUGUGUGUGAACAUGGGUGUGUGUGCAUGUGGACAUGGGUGUGUACGUGUGAACAUGGGUGUGUGCACGUGUGAACAUGGGUGUGCGUGUGAACAUGGGUGUGUGUGUGUGAGAGAGCCUUGGCACAGGAAGCAGGUCGAGGGGGAGCUGGGCUGCACCACCCCCCACUUGGGCCCCAGCCUCCUCCUCUCUCCCAGCCCGGAGGCCCUCCUACAGGCAGGUUGGAAGCCCUUGUCUGGGUCACCUGUCUCAGAUGGGGACAGUGGCCGCAGACAGGGAAGGAGCCUCCUCACACUCUGCAGAGGAGCUGGCGAGCUUCAGUGUCAGAUGAGUCCUGGGGUGGAGGGCACGGCUCUCUCAGGGGCACGGGAGCCAGCCCUGGCCGGGACCCUCCCUUAGAGAGCACGACUCCUUCCGGGAGGGCCUGGCGUGCUCGGAAUCAGGAGCCGUUGACGGGAGGCCUCUGUCUGGGGAGGGGAGACGCCUCCUGCACUAAGG
rnacentral:lncRNA from 1 species